GGGUGCGAUCAUACCAGCACUAAUGCACCGGAUCCCAUCAGAACUCCGAAGUUAAGCGUGCUUGGGCGAGCACGAGAGUAGUACUAGGAUGUGUGACCCCCUGGGAAGUCCUCGUGUUGCACCCC
rnacentral:rRNA from 1 species